rnacentral:rRNA from 1 species
UACGUAGGGUGCAAGCGUUAAUCGGAAUUACUGGGCGUAAAGCGUGCGCAGGCGGUUUUGUAAGACAGUGGUGAAAUCCCCGGGCUCAACCUGGGAACUGCCAUUGUGACUGCAAGGCUGGAGUGCGGCAGAGGGGGAUGGAAUUCCGCGUGUAGCAGUGAAAUGCGUAGAUAUGCGGAGGAACACCGGUGGCGAAGGCAAUCCCCUGGGCCUGCACUGACGCUCAUGCACGAAAGCGUGGGGAGCAAACAGG